rnacentral:rRNA from 1 species
UACGGAGGAUGCAAGCGUUAUCCGGAAUGAUUGGGCGUAAAGCGUCCGCAGGUGGCUAUGUAAGUCUGCUGUUAAAGAGUCUAGCUCAACUAGAUACGAGCAGUGGAAACUACAAGGCUAGAGUACGUUCGAGGCAGAGGGAAUUCCUGGUGUAGCGGUGAAAUGCGUAGAGAUCAGGAAGAACACCAGUGGCGAAGGCGCUCUGCGAGGCCGUAACUGACACUGAGGGACGAAAGCUAGGGGAGCGAAUGGG